UCAACAACCGAUGUGAGGGCUCCUCGGUCCAGACACGGACCUGCCACAUUCAGGAGUGUGACAAGAGAUUUAAACAGGAUGGUGGCUGGAGCCACUGGUCCCCGUGGUCAUCUUGUUCUGUGACAUGUGGUGAUGGUGUGAUCACAAGGAUCCGGCUCUGCAACUCUCCCAGCCCCCAGAUGAACGGGAAACCCUGUGAAGGCGAAGCGCGGGAGACCAAAGCCUGCAAGAAAGACGCCUGCCCCAGUAAGUGUAAGGUCCGCUGCAAGGGUGAGCAUGGGCAGCAGCUCUGCCCAGCUGGUUGCCUGGCAUCUGCAGCCUGCAGUUCAGUGGGUCAUAGAGCAGGAAGGUUACCUACUAGAGAAACAAACAGAAGCAAAGUCCUGCAGGCUCAGCAACUUCUUUUAAUGAAAAACAAACUCACCCUCUUCCCCAGCAUUCUUUCCAUGUGUCAGAGAAGCAGAGGUUUCUUGAACGGGCUUAGGAGAGUCUAUGACAAG
rnacentral:sRNA from 1 species